AGCCGAUGGGCGGAACCAGAAAAUAUCAAAACAGAAACAAACAAGAGAUCUUAAAAUAUAAGUUAGCAGCUAAUCUCUCGAUUUAAUGGAAAAGUGUAUGUGUUUAUUUAUACCUGUUUUAUUAUAUAGAGAACCCCAAAACAACGAUAUUAACAUUACUUCCAUAUUUAUGUCAAAGCGAAAUAACAUAAAAUUGACAUUUUUUAAGGUUUAGUGUUUACGGCCUUUGCCAAUCUUCGUCCAACCCUCU